CGACUCGAGCGCAGCGAGAGAACGUUGCUUCAGCAACGGCCCGCAGGGCGAGCCACGCAGUGGCGAGUCAUCCUCUAUCACCGACCA
rnacentral:sRNA from 1 species